GCCCUCGUAGCUCAAUGGAUAGAGCAACCGCCUCCUAAGCGGUAGAUUCGGAUUCGAGUUCCGGCGAGGGUA
rnacentral:tRNA from 1 species